CCUAAACCAAAGCAAAAGGAACAAAAACUCUUCGCUCGCGGCUCGCCCACCAAAUCCCGGAGCAGAGCACACUGAUAAAACUACACUUCCACCGAUCCCUCGCUUUCUUCGAAAUUAAGCAUAUAUUCCAGCAGUUUCCAUCAAUCCAUCCAAAAUUUGCUCCAGUACACCGUGUAGGAGUCCCGUUUUCCUUGACGAGCGAUAGCUGCAGCGGUUGGGGGUGGUGGCGAUGGAGUGCCCACCACCUGUUCGACGGGAGGACGGCGAAAUUGAUUGGGCCGAGGCGGCGAGGAAAUACCUCGACGUGGUCUCCUCGGGCCACGAGGGGGCGGCGGUGAGGGCCACGCUCGAGGUCAAGCGGAUGGCCAGCCACGCUCCGGAUCCUGCCGUGCGGCUCGCUGUCUGGGCGCUUGUCGGCCUCCUCGACCGGUCGCCGCCGCCUCGUCUGCAGGCGGCAGCGUCGCAGGCCCUGUGCUCCGUCGUUCGCGUCGAUGGUGGCAAGUUCGCCGACGAAAUUGUUGAUGCGGGCUUCCUCCCCGUGGCGCAGAGGCUGCUCCCGGAGUCGGAGGAGGUGCCCCAGAGGAUCCUGCUGAGGUGCCUCAGCUGCAUCCUGUCCUUCCACGCAACUAGCCGUGUGGUAUUUGCGAGGGGCGGUGGCGCAGAGGUUAUCUUGGACCUAUUUCAGGGCUGCUCUGGUGCGACGAAGCGGCACUUGGUGGAAAUUCUGAGCGCGUUAGCAUUGGUGAGAGAAGUCCGGCGUCUGAUCCUAGCUGAUGGAAAGGUCGAAUACCUCGUGGAGGCGAUUUCGUUUGGUAACUUGGUGUCAAGGACCAGAGCAGCUCAGUCUGCUGGCCUGCUUGGUGCAUCAACUAACGGCCGAUCUUCGCUUGUUGAGAUGGGUGCGCCGCUGGCGCUAGUUGGACUAAUGAGGGAUGGUGAUUCCUCAGCGAAGCUUGUUGCUGCUAACGCGCUUGGUAUAGUCUCAUCAAUUGGACACCACCUCCCAUUGAUUCAUCAAUCUGGUGCUAUACCUUUAUAUGCUGAGCUGCUAAAAGAAAACCCUCCACUUGCAAAAGAUAUAGUGGAGGAUGUAUUCUGCAUUUUAGUUUCGAUCAGGGACAAUACUGGAGCGGUUCUGGAGAAUCUGGCUGGAAUCCUGACGGGUCAAGAUGACCUUGCAAUAAGUUCUGCUGUCGAUGUUUUGUUGGCUCUUGCUGAAUAUAAGAGCAUUAUUACUUUCCUUAAAAGUUCUGGAGUAAUAACUGUUCUAGUGGAUCUUCUGCAGAACAGGAAUCAUGAUGUUGUUGAGAAAGUUACAGGAGUUGUUGCACAGUUAAGCUACGAGGAGUGUAUCAGGGAAGGUUUGAUGGAAGCUGGUGCUAUUCCCAUUCUUUUAGACUUGCUUCAUGGCCGUUUAGAGGACUUGACGGAGUUUGCAGCAGCAGAAGCUUUGAUUAACUUUUCUGAAGAUCCAUCAUGCCGGGAGUAUGCACCAAUGCUACAAAGGGUACCAGAACUUUCGGCAUUUCGAGAUCACUUGUUUCAUUUCCGCAUUUCUCAAGGCCACUUGAUUCAAUCUGCAAGAAGAAGGAUAGAGCAGCGUUUGAACUCACAAUAAGAAUUUUCGUGACUCAUGAGGGGGGCUAUAUUGGUUGCAAAUCUGGAGGUUGCUACAAAGGAAGGAUCAAAGGGAUUUAGAAGGCAUGCAAUGCUUGGAAUAUAGUGGCUGUGGAAGUUUUUACUAACAAUAGUGGUUUAGUGAUAGGUUUCUGUGGCUACUCUGGAUGCCACUUCAAAUAUUUCUGUUCUUUCAUGAUGAGAAGGCAUAAUAUUGGAUUGAUGCUAUAGGCACUGGUGGAUGCAAAAGGACCCCUCCCUGCCUUCUCCCUGCACUGCCACCUCCAGGUGCCGUGAACCAAAGGGGAGAGAGGGAGACCAAGAAGAGAAGAAAGGAGAGGUGAAAUUAGGGUACGACGUCAGUCGUCGUCGUUCCUCUCCAAAAAUUGGUGCAAUCGAUGGGGCUGCCAUGAAGUUCAUCGCUAGCGAGAGGAAGACGACUGGGAGUCAUCGUUGGGAUCGCCGUUGUCACCAUUGCCCUUGUUGUUUUCAAGGGGAAACCCUAGUUGAGGCAUGCCCUCAUUGUAAUCCAUGUUUUCCUUACGGUUUCAGAUGUUCUACCACCUGCGUGUAGCCGUACUCGACGCCGUUAAGGGCUAGGGUAAAGUUUUGCCCUCGUCGCUGUUUUCAACACGUAGUCAAUCUGUGCAGUUUAGAGUAAUGUCUGUUUGCAUCCUCUUAAUGGCUUCAAAAAAAUAUCAAACCUUUACAUGAGUUGUAGAGGUUUUGUAGAGGUUUCCAAAUCCGUAAAGAACAGUACAAUCAGAUUUAAGAGCUGAGAGGUAUUGAAGUUUGAUUC